GGUUUUUUGUUUUGGAAACAAAUGAUUUUGAAAGUCACUAAAAAGGGUUCAACUCCCUUAAAAACCU
rnacentral:tRNA from 1 species